rnacentral:rRNA from 1 species
AAUAUGGCACAAUGGGCGCAAGCCUGAUGCAGCGACGCCGCGUGAGCGAAGAAGGUCAUCGGAUCGUCACGCUCUGUCCUCUGGGAAGAAAAAAAUGACGGUACCAGAGGAGGAAGCCCCGGCUAACCACGUGCCAGCAGCCGCGGGAAUACGCAGGGGGCUAGCGUUGUCCGGAUUUACUGGGCGUAAAGGGUGAGUAGGCGGUAACGUGUGUCAGAUGUUUAAUCUAUGGGGUCAACCCAUAUCGGCAUUUGAAACUACGUGACUUGAGUGCAGGAGAGGUAAGUGGAAUUCCUAGUGUAGCGGUGGAAUGCGUAGAUAUUAGGAGGAACGCCAGUGGCGAAGGCGACUUACUGGACUGCAACUGACGCUGAGUCACGAAAGCGUGGGGAGCAAACAGG